CCGGUGACAUAUCCUUCAAAUGUCUGACUUAUCAGCUGUCGAUGGUAGACUCUGUGUCUACCAUGGCGCUCACGGGUGACGGGGAAUCAGGGUUCGAUUCCGGAGAGGGAGCCUGAGAAACGGCUACCACAUCCAAGGAAGGCAGCAGGCACGCAAAUUACCCACUCCCGGCACGGGGAGGUAGUGACAAAAAAUAACGAUACGGGACUCAUCCGAGGCCCCGUAAUCGGAAUGAGAACACCCUAAAUCCUUUAACGAGGAUCUAUUGGAGGGCAAGUCUGGUGCCAGCAGCCGCGGUAAUUCCAGCUCCAAUGGCGUAUAUUAAAGUUGUUGCGGUUAAAAAGCUCGUAGUUGGUUCUGCGUGCCACGCUGUCGGUUCACCGCCUGCCGGUGCAACUGGCAUGCCGUGGCAUGUCCUGUCGGUGGCGGAUGGGCUCGUGGCGUGCCCUAUGCGGUAUUCCAACGUGUAGGUUGCUACGCCGCGAUGUUCUGUUCGCCGGCUCAAUCCUACCGCGGUGCUCUUUACCGAGUGUCGAGGUAGGCCGACACUGUUUACUUUGAACAAAUUAGAGUGCUUAAAGCAGGCUCUUAAAUCAGCCUGAAUAGUGGUGCAUGGAAUAAUGGAACAGGACCUUGGUUCUAUUUUGUUGGUUUUCGGAAUCCAAGGUAAUGAUCAAUAAGGACAGGCGGGGGCAUUCGUAUUGCGGCGUUAGAGGUGAAAUUCCUGGAUCGUGCAAGACGCACUAGAGCGAAAGCAUUUGCCAAGUAUGUCUUAAUUGAUC
rnacentral:rRNA from 1 species